UUUUUAUAUAAUACUCUGUGUGUGUGUGUGUGUGUGUGUGUGUGUGUGUGUGUAUAUACACACACACAACAGCUUUACUUUUCAUAGUAUCAUUCAUCC
rnacentral:miRNA from 1 species